UUCCUCUCAGGAUCUCACCUGGAAAGUUUCCAGGGCUCUACCAGUCUCGGCUACAGGUGGGAGAGUCAAGCAGAGGCAUACCCACUCCAUUUCUAGCUUGGGAAGUAGCUAAUGAGUGGAAGGCAAUCUGCUACAAGU